CCUACGGGAGGCAGCAGUGAGGAAUAUUGGUCAAUGGUCGGGAGACUGAACCAGCCAAGCCGCGUGAGGGAUGAAGGUACAGAGUAUCGUAAACCUCUUUUGUCAGGGAACAAAGGCGGGGACGUGUCCCCGGAUGAGUGUACCUGAAGAAAAAGCAUCGGCUAACUCCGUGCCAGCAGCCGCGGUAAUACGGAGGAUGCGAGCGUUAUCCGGAUUUAUUGGGUUUAAAGGGUGCGCAGGCGGUCUGUUAAGUCAGCGGUCAAACCCCGGGGCUCAACCCCGGCCCGCCGUUGAAACUGGCAGUCUCGAGUUGGAGAGAAGUAGGCGGAAUGCGCGGUGUAGUGGUGAAAUGCAUAGAUAUCGCGCAGAACUCCGAUUGCGAAGGCAGCAUGCCGGCUCCACACUGACGCUGAGGCACGAAAGCGUGGGUAUCGAACAGGAUUAGAUACCCGAGUAGUC
rnacentral:rRNA from 1 species